GUACUGCUGAGGAGUCCCAUACUAGGACGAAACGGCCGUCUAGUAC
rnacentral:hammerhead_ribozyme from 1 species